AUUGAACGCUGGCGGCAUGCUUUCACCUGCCAGUUGAACCGCCACCCCGGCUUCCGCCUUGCCGCCAGUUGCCGACCGGUUGGUUAUUCCUUCGAACCUUCCCCGUUAUUGGGGGUUAGCCCGCCAAAGCCCGAUUUAUUCCCCCUUCCGCCUUGGGGUUGAAACCGGGGGCCCGAAAGCCCCCGCCCUUUUGGACCGCCCGAUGUCGGAUUAGCUAGUUGGUGGGGUAAAGGCUUACCAAGGCGACGAUCCGUAGCUGGUCUGAGAGGACGACCAGCCACACUGGGACUGAGACACGGCCCAGACUCCUACGGGAGGCAGCAGUGGGGAAUUUUGGACAAUGGGGGCAACCCUGAUCCAGCCAUGCCGCGUGCGGGAAGAAGGCCUUCGGGUUGUAAACCGCUUUUGUUCGGGAAGAAAUCCUCUGGGCUAAUACCCCGGGGGGAUGACGGUACCGGAAGAAUAAGCACCGGCUAACUACGUG
rnacentral:rRNA from 1 species